rnacentral:rRNA from 1 species
UGGGGAAUAUUGCACAAUGGGCGAAAGCCUGAUGCAGCAACGCCGCGUGAGUGAUGAAGGCCUUCGGGUUGUAAAGCUCUGUCUUUUGGGACGAUAAUGACGGUACCAAAGGAGGAAGCCACGGCUAACUACGUGCCAGCAGCCGCGGUAAUACGUAGGUGGCAAGCGUUGUCCGGAUUUACUGGGCGUAAAGGAUGCGUAGGCGGAUUUUUAAGUGAGAUGUGAAAACCCUAAAGCUUAACUUGGGGACUGCAUUUCAUACUGGAAAAUCUAGAGUGCGGGAGAGGAGAAAUGGAAUUCCUAGUAUAGCGGUGAAAUGCGUAGAGAUUAGGAAGAACACCAGUGGCGAAGGCGAUUCUCUGGACCGUAACUGACGCUGAGGCAUGAAAAGCGUGGGUAGCAAACAGGAUUAGAUACCCUGGUAGUCCACGCCGUAAAACGAUGAGUACUAGGUGUAGGAGGUAUCGACCCCUUCUGUGCCGCAGUUAACACAAUAAGUACUCCGCCUGGGAAGUACGAUCGCAAGAUUAAAAACUC